AAAAUAAUUUAAUUUGGUAUUUUUGUGCUCAUGAGAACAUAGGAAAAAUAAUAUUUUUAGUUAAUUAAAAUUUAUCAUAGGACUUAGCAACUUGUUGAGCAUUCAUGCUCUUGCAUUAAUUUUUGUUGCAAUGAGUGGUUUGACUAAAGUUUAAAAAUAAUUCAAAAUAAUUUAAAAUGAUUUUCGAAAAUAUUAAAUUCUAACCCUAGUCCAACUCAUCCAAACCUCACGUAUGUAUAUAUACACACGUAGUAUGCGUUGAUUUUCUUUUACAUCACACGUUCUGCCCUAGCUUUGGUUGAGCCUCCGCCGCUGCCGCAGGCAAGCUUCGGCGUCGUUGUCCUCGGCUCUCCGCCCGCACUGCCACCAAUGGCCACCGCGUUGGUAUGGUACAUCCCGCACUCCACGUAUCCCUUUCGAUGUUUUGAAGCCUCUGAUUCAUUUGCUUUUCUUUCGAGUGAUUCUGUGAUUGUAAUUGCGGUUUAGUUUUUGCCUUGAUACGGCCGGCGCUGCUGGUGCCGCUCGAUGUGCUAUGCCAUGCUCCAAUGCCUAGUUAGCACGA
rnacentral:lncRNA from 1 species